rnacentral:rRNA from 1 species
CUCGAGGAUGAACGCUGGCGGCGUGCUUAACACAUGCAAGUCGAACGGAAAGGCCAGUGCUUGCGCUGGUACUCGAGUGGCGACGGGUGAGUAACACGUGGGUGAUCUGCCCUGCACUUCGGGAUAAGCUUGGGAAACUGGGUCUAAUACCGGAUAGGACCAUUGGUUGGUGCCUUUGGUGGAAAGUUUUUUCGGUGUGGGAUGAGCUCGCGGCCUAUCAGCUUGUUGGUGGGGUAAUGGCCUACCAAGGCGUCGACGGGUAGCCGGCCUGAGAGGGUGUACGGCCACAUUGGGACUGAGAUACGGCCCAGACUCCUACGGGAGGCAGCAGUGGGGAAUAUUGCACAAUGGGCGCAAGCCUGAUGCAGCGACGCCGCGUGGGGGAUGACGGCCUUCGGGUUGUAAACUCCUUUCGCCAAAGACGAAUGUGGACGGUAUUUGGAGAAGAAGCACCGGCUAACUACGUG